AUCUAUGGCCAUGCUACCCUGAACAAGCCCGAUCUUGUCUGAUUUCGGAAGCUAAGCAGGGUUGGACUUGGUUAGUACUUGGAUGGGAGACCACGUAGGAAGACCAGGUUAUGUAGGUG
ensembl:rRNA 5S_rRNA 5S ribosomal RNA